UUCAACACUGAUUUUUAAUCUCCUUAUGCAAUGGUAGAUUGGGUUGAGUUGUUUGAAGAGUAGCUUGGAAGGUAUUAAGGACUCACCAUGGUUAAGGUAUGUUAAGGCACUUUCCUCUUUCUUUUGGCAUGAUCUAAAGUGAAAUGAAUACGCUAUUUCAUAACGGAUCUACUCCUAGAAACUAAGGUUUCCCAUGUUGUUCUUUCCUUAUAAAAUUAUAUUAAGCAAGUAUGUAUGAUCCUUGAAUCCUAUAGAAGAUCAUAUUGAUGGUAUGAUGUCCAUAAUGUUAAUCGAAGGUGCAACGACCUUAAGUCACUCCAAAAGGUUUAGAACGUGAUUCCAUGAGUAUAGCGUGCAUUAUAUAUAUCAUCUAUUUUACUCUACCGAGCUGCGCUAUAGUAGGUCGGGAACGACACCUAUUGUGCAACCACUGAUCAGUUGGGUUUACCGAGCUCCAUGUGGCCGGGUACGAUUCUACCGAGCCUUAUGAUGGCCGGGUACGUUUUUACCGAGUCCUCUUUGAGGCCGGGUACGAUAUGAUAAUGAUGAUGCCCAUAGAGGCGUAUGUUUUUAAAAGUUUAUGUACAUAUAUGUAUAAUGCAUUUCAUUUAGUAUCCUCCAGAGGCACUCAGAUGUUACAGGUUGUAUCUUCUCUAUCUCUCUUUACAUUAAUGUUCUUGUUUAUGCUUUCGUGCCAUACAUACUCGGUACUUUAUUUGUAGGGACGUCCCUUUUGCCUGGAGACGCUGUGUUUCAUGCCCACAGGUCCCAAUUGAUAGGUUGACAUUCCUCCUAGUAGACUAUCAGCUCAGCGGAGGUGUUGGUGCACUCCACUUGCUCCGGAGUUGCCUAUUUGGUCAGUAUGCUUUGGAUAUGUAUUGAUUGAUAUGGCGGGACCCUGUCCCAACCUUUAUGAUUUUAUGUACUCUUAGAGGCUUGUAGACAGAUGUCGGGUUUAUGGAUAUUUGUAUGGCCUUGUUGGCCUAUGUGUUGAGUUUACACAUGGUCAUGUUGGCCUUAUAGGCCCGUAUAUCACAUGUAUAAGUUUGUAUAUCAUGUUGGUCGUCAUAUGUUGAGUAUUCCCUUAUGUAUUAUUCUUGUUAUCUCGUGAUGGGUUUCUGGCUCAUUUACUCAAGAUAGUAUAAUAAGAAAGAUAUGUUAUGUUGGUACUUGGUUGAGUAAGGCACCGGGUGCCCGUCGAGGCCCUUCGGUUUGGGUCGUGACAUUUUCUUUGAUAGAUGUGAGUCCUUAAAUUAUAUUUAAUCAUGAGAUUCGAAUGUGUGGAUUCUACUCUAUUGUUCUUGUUGUGAGGGCACAUGAUUUCACG
rnacentral:lncRNA from 1 species